rnacentral:rRNA from 1 species
ACAGACCCAAGACAAUACCACCGGCGUAAAGCACGACUAAAACAACAGUUUAUACAUUAGGGAGAAAACCAAGCUGGGCUGUAAAAAGCCAUAAGCAACACUAAACACCAAACCCUAACCCCAUAACAACUUCAACUCGUGAAAGCAAGGACACAAACUAAGAUUAGAUACCCUACUAUGCCUAGCCGUAACAAAACAAUUAAAUAACCAAUUGUUCGCCAAAUAACUACGAGUAAAAACUUAAAAUUUAAAAGACUUGACGGUACUUCACACCAACCUAGAGGAGCCUGUCUAAUAACCGACAAUCCACGAUUAACCCAACCCGCUCUAGCCUAACAGUCUAUAUACCGCCGUCGCCAGCUUACCUUGUGAAAGAAAUAAAGUAAGCCCAAUAAUACCCCCAUUAACACGACAGGUCGAGGUGUAACCAAUGAGAGGGUCAAAGAUGGGCUACAUUUUCUUUACUCAGAAAACACGAAUAAACUAUGAAACUAGAAACUGAAGGAGGAUUUAGCAGUAAGCCAAGAACAGAAUACUUAGCCGAAACCAACGCAAUGAAGUGCGCACACACCGCCCGUCAUCCCUGUAAAACACACUAAACAUUCAUAAACACCCAUUACCACUAAAA